rnacentral:rRNA from 1 species
UACAGAGGUCUCAAGCGUUGUUCGGAUUCAUUGGGCGUAAAGGGUGCGUAGGCGGCGCGGUAAGUCGGGUGUGAAAUCUCGGAGCUUAACUCCGAAACUGCAUUCGAUACUGCCGUGCUUGAGGACUGGAGAGGAGACUGGAGUUUACGGUGUAGCGGUGAAAUGCGUAGAUAUCGGGAGGAACACCCGUAGCGAAGGCGGCCGACUGGACCACACCUGACGCUGAGGCGCGAAGGCCAGGGGAGCGAACGGG